AGAGUUUGAUCCUGGCUCAGGAUGAACGCUGGCGGCGUGCAUAACACAUUCAAGUCGAACGGACGAGGGGCUUCGGCCCCGAGUUAGUGGCGGACGGGUGAGUAACGCGUGAGCAACCUGCCCCUGUGUGCGGGAUAACGUCCGGAAACGGACGCUAAUACCGCAUAACGCAAUCUGACCGCAUGAUCGGGUUGCCAAAGAUUUAUUGCACAGGGAUGGGCUCGCGUCCGAUUAGAUAGUUGGUGGGGUAACGGCCUACCAAGUCAACGAUCAGUAGCCGGUCUGAGAGGAUGAACGGCCACAUUGGGACUGAGAUACGGCCCAGACUCCUACGGGAGGCAGCAGUGGGGAAUAUUGGGCAAUGGGCGAAAGCCUGACCCAGCAACGCCGCGUGAAGGAAGAAGGCCUUCGGGUUGUAAACUUCUUUUACCAGGGACGAAUAAAAUGACGGUACCUGGAGAAAAAGCAACGGCUAACUACGUGCCAGCAGCCGCGGUAAUACGUAGGUUGCAAGCGUUGUCCGGAUUUACUGGGUGUAAAGGGCGUGUAGGCGGAGAUGCAAGUUGGGAGUGAAAUCCCGGGGCUCAACCCCGGAACUGCUUUCAAAACUGCAUCCCUUGAGUAUCGGAGAGGCAAGCGGAAUUCCUAGUGUAGCGGUGAAAUGCGUAGAUAUUAGGAGGAACACCAGUGGCGAAGGCGGCUUGCUGGACGACAACUGACGCUGAGGCGCGAAAGCGUGGGGAGCAAACAGGAUUAGAUACCCUGGUAGUCCACGCUGUAAACGAUGAAUACUAGGUGUGGGAGGACUGACCCCUUCCGUGCCGCAGUUAACACAAUAAGUAUUCCACCUGGGGAGUACGACCGCAAGGUCGAAACUCAAAGGAAUUGACGGGAGCCCGCACAAGCAGUGGAGUAUGUGGUUUAAUUCGAUGCAACGCGAAGAACCUUACCAGAACUUGACAUCCCAAGAACCCGGUUGUAAUGACCGGGGUGCCUUUCGGGGAACUUGGAGACAGGUGGUGCAUGGUUGUCGUCAGCUCGUGUCGUGAGAUGUUGGGUUAAGUCCCGCAACGAGCGCAACCCUUACCUUUAGUUGCUACGCAAGAGCACUCUGAAGGGACUGCCGUUGACAAAACGGAGGAAGGUGGGGAUGACGUCAAAUCAUCAUGCCCCUUACGUUCUGGGCUACACACGUACUACAAUGGCGUAAACAAAGGGAAGCGAUACCGCGAGGUGGAGCAAACCCCAUAAAAGACGCCUCAGUUCAGAUUGCAGGCUGCAACUCGCCUGCAUGAAGCUGGAAUUGCUAGUAAUCGCGGAUCAGCAUGCCGCGGUGAAUACGUUCCCGGGCUUUGCACUCACCGCCCGUCA
rnacentral:rRNA from 1 species